rnacentral:rRNA from 1 species
UACGUAGGGUGCAAGCGUUGUCCGGAAUUAUUGGGCGUAAAGAGCUCGUAGGCGGUUUGUCGCGUCGGCUGUGAAAACCCGGGGCUCAACCCCGAGCCUGCAGUCGAUACGGGCAGACUAGAGUGCUGUAGGGGAGACUGGAAUUCCUGGUGUAGCGGUGAAAUGCGCAGAUAUCAGGAGGAACACCGGUGGCGAAGGCGGGUCUCUGGGCAGUAACUGACGCUGAGGAGCGAAAGCGUGGGGAGCGAACAGG